rnacentral:rRNA from 1 species
GAUAAACGCUAGCGGGAGGCUUAACACAUGCAAGUCGAGGGGUAAAAGGUAGCAAUACUUUGAGACCGGCGGACGGGUGCGUAACGCGUAUGCAACUUACCUUGUGCAGGGAGAUAGCCCGGGGAAACCCGGAUUAAUAUUCCAUAAUUCAUAUUUACUGCAUGGUUUAUAUGUAAAAGUUAAUGCGGCACAAGAUAGGCAUGCGUCUGAUUAGCUGGUUGGUAGGGUAACGGCCUACCAAGGCGACGAUCAGUAGGGGUUCUGAGAGGAUUAUCCCCCACACUGGUACUGAGACACGGACCAGACUCCUACGGGAGGCAGCAGUGAGGAAUAUUGGUCAAGUGGGCGUCAGCCUGAACCAGCCAUUCCGCGUGAAGGAAGAAGGCCUUACGGGUUGUAAACUUCUUUUCUGUAAGAAGAAAAGCUUAACGAGUUGAGUUAUGACGGUAUUACAGGAAUAAGCAUCGGCUAACUCCGUG